rnacentral:rRNA from 1 species
CCUACGGGAGGCAGCAGUGAGGAAUAUUGGUCAAUGGGCGCGAGCCUGAACCAGCCAAGUCGCGUGAGGGAGGACGGCCCUACGGGUUGUAAACCUCUUUUGCCGGGGAGCAACGUGCGCCACGUGUGGCGUCACAGAGAGUACCCGGAGACAAAGCAUCGGCUAACUCAGUGCCAGCAGCCGCGGUAAUACGGAGGAUGCGAGCGUGAGCCGGAUGUAUUGGGGUUAAAGGGUGCGUAGGCGGAUCGUUAAGUCAGUGGUCAAAUUGAGGGGCUCAACCCCUUCCCGCCAUUGAAACUGGCGUUCUUGAGUGGAAGAGAGGUCUGCGGAAUGCGUGUUGUAGCGGUGAAAUGCAUAGAUAUCACGCAGAACCCCGAUUGCGAAGGCAGCAUGCCGGCUUCCGACUGACGCUGAAGCACGAAAGCGUGGGGAUCGAACAGGAUUAGAUACCCGAGUAGUC